GGGAGGAGGAGCCAAGAUGGCGGAACAGCAUGGAAGUUUCUUGUGUGUCUCGCGUCGGUGAAAGACGGCCAGACCGACGCUAAACCAUCCUACACACCUAGAAAACCGAUGUGAGGAUGAACACAACAAUCUGCACAACCUGAACCACAGAACUCAGCAGGAUAACCAUGUUCUCGUCACCCAAGGCCAAAUUCCCAGCUGAAGGUACAGAGGCUCCAGAGGAAACAGAUGUGAAGUGAAGUGCAAUACAACAUUUUCAAGCUCGGUAAAUUUGCUGGAGGAAAGGCCAGGUUAGAGGUUCAACCUUCUUGGACUUCAGGAAAUGCCGCCUUCCUGAACAUAAACCAAGGCAAAAUACUGUACAGAGGACCCCCUGAUGGGAAUGGCCAGCUGGACUCCAACUCCCCGCCCAAGAUUCGGUCUCUAGGUCAUCUUGCUGACACUGCAUUCAAGCAAUGACAGCACCUUUGCCAUCGCCUCAGUCACUAUGCUGAGACCACGAUUCCAGGAGAGACCUCUUGUUCCCGUCUAAUUCCACGCCACUGACCUGAGUGUUAUUCUUGUUUCAGAACCACGUCUUUAUUACGGUCACUUUCUCAUGCUUUCAUACCUGAUGAGAAAGCAGCUGGAUACUUGAGUGGAUUAUAUUCUGCAUGGCUGCCUGACAUUCUACCGGUUGUUAAUGGAAAAACAUGACCCUUUUCAAUUCUUUAAUUAGUGCCCUCCAUUUUCAUGUCACAAAAUCAGGUCAGUUCUCAGUGGCCAGGAAUUAACUGACAACUUGUUACGCCCAAAAGUUUGGGGAUACAGAAAAUAGAAAAUAUAGUCCAAGGAGAUGAAUGGUUUACUGCUUUAUAGCACAUAGCUGGCUGUUGCACAAGGGAAUGCGCUGAGAAAACACGACAUUAGUACAAAAUCUGACAAGCGCUCUGAUACUCGAGGCACAAGGCGGGAAGUGGGGUGGAGGUGGCUAGAGAGGUGGAAAAGCAGUACCCUUGAAAGAGAGCCACUGCUCUGGCCCCGAAACCUUAGAACAUCCUGCUCUGGACCUCUUUGGACCACCUUUUGCCCCUUGGGGAGAAAAUAUGCAGGACCAAGGACACACGCCCACCUGAAACCCAUUGCCUUACCCUCUAGACAAAGAUCUGAAUACCUAGCACUGCAGUAUUCCUUGCCUGAAGGCCCCCAGUCUGCUUCCAUGGCUUGGGUGGGCUCUUUUCUGGAUCCACACCCAAGGUAAGACCAUCCCACCAGCAUGUGCUUGUGGGCAAGAUAGGUAACCAAGGGCUGGCUACUGGCAAAGGUUUUGGAUGGAGUUAGAAGUUGGUGUUGGCGUGGUCUGUGUGGCAUAAGAGGGAAGCAGAACUAAGGUGAGAAGGGAGUCAGAGGCAGGCCAGAGACUUGGGCCCAGGUACCAGCUCUCUCCAUGCAGACAUGUUCUGGCCUAAAACUCAGAUGAGUCUGAGACUUGCCAGUUCAAGCCUGGAUUUCUAAAACAGGAGAAUAAAACACGUUCUGUCUGCCAGUUUGGUAAGUUGAUUUAUAACAUCUACAGACAUUGCAUGUGAGCCUUUAUUUUCAUUCUUGGCUCUACUCUUUAGAGGUGAGCCUGCAGCGGAGGACCCUGUGUGGCACAAGGUCUCUGCCUAUGGGCAGUGGCAUCUCUGGAGAUGUUUAUCUAGGGCGGUGACAUACGUCUAGAAAGCUUGCUUUCUCGAGUGUGGAGCUUGGUUGUGAGUGAGCAUUGACAGAAGGGAGGCCAAUUCGAGAGCUUUGGCAACAUUUUUAAGGAAAAGAUGAUGCAGGCUUAAACUAAGAUGGUGACAGGGCGUGGAGAAGCAACAUAGUAGAACAGUAUUUCUGAGCUUACAGGUGACAGUUUUGGGGAGCUGAUGCAUGUCCUUCACAGGACAGGAGCUUCAGACACAAUGGUUCCUAUGUGGAACCAUUUGCUCCAACAUCCCACCUGCAUUAGUUUCCUAUUGCUGCUGUAACAAAUUACUACAAAUUUAGAGGCUUAAAACAAUACAAAUGUAUUAACAGUUCCAGAGGCCAGAAGUCCGACAGGUCCCACUAGGCAGAAAUCAAGGUGUUGGCAAGACGACAUUCCUUUCUGGAGGCUGUAUGGGAAUAUCCAUUUCUUUGCCUUUUUCAGAUGCCAGGAAGUACCCGCAUCUCGUGCUCCAAGAUCCCUCCCUCCAUUGUCAAAGCCAACGAAGUGACGGCAAACUGUGCCCUUCUCAAUGGCACAUCACCCACCUCCCUCUUUCAGUUGUACAUUACAUUGAUUACAUUGGCCCCUCCUGGGUAAUCUAGGAUCCAUAUGUCUACUUCAAGUUUAGUGGAUUAGCAACCUUAUUUCUCCCUUGUCCUGUAAUACAACAUUCUCCUAGAUUCUGGGGACUGGGGUGUGGACAUCUUUGCCUGCCACACCAUCUUAGAAUGUGCUUUCCUGCCCCUAUGGGCCCUGUGGCCGGGAUCACUCAUCACGAGUGAGUUGGUGAAGCUCGUUAGGGCAAGAUAUUUUACCACUUUAUAAACUGAAAACGAAACACGUUAAUUAUGUUUUAGGACUCCAUAUGGUGUUGCCUAAAAACCUCAUGUGUUUCAUGUAAUCUGGAACUGGGGAACCCACAGAAUAUGCUGUCCAUUCAUCCCUAGGGUUGUUCUGCCUAUGGCUGGGUCGACAACAUUCUAAGUGUUGAAGGUGCCUCCUUCCUCAAAAUCCUUUUUCCUAACAGGCCAUAGUUAGGUCCUUUCCAUGGGCUAGAUUUCUGUUUCCAGAGGUAACCUGUUAAAAUUCAGUCCUCUACACUUUGUUGCCAGAUUAUUGUACACGCGGUGCGAAGAAUGUGGCCCUUACAGACACUGUCUUUCAGCAGAAGGAGAGGGAAGUAAAGAGAAAUAUCUGUAGCGUGAGGUGGGGUGUCCUGAGGGCUGCGGCAGGAUGAUUCUAGGGAGCGCAGGGGUACACAGAGCGGGAGACCCUACAGGCAAAACCGGGUGACCUCAUCGUUCUGGAACUGGCCUUCCUGGUAACCAAAGUCUGCUCAUCGCGUCAUUCUCCGCUCCAGGCUUGUUUUAUUUAUUCCCUAGGCAAACGAGUGAGAUGCGUUGUUUUCGCGGUUUUUCUGCUCUCUCUGCUACGGAAUUCAGUUCUGAAGCUAAGGUAGAGUCCCGUGGAGCUGUGGGCUGCAUGCCCAGGGGAGGUAGCCGUGCACAAUGGGGGCUCCCAAAACACAGCCAUCCAUCCCAUGGUCGGCACAGCCCUGACCUGACUGCAGAGCCAGGAGUAAUUCACAGUAUUUUCUGUAAUAGUUCGUGUGGAGGCUUUGUACACAGAGCAAUACAUGGGGUACCACGGAAAGAGAUAGAGUCUUGGAUUUUUCCAGUGCUUUCUGUGCAUGAAUAUUUUCAGAGAUUGUUUUGCUUCUGGCCUUGUAAUGAGGAGGCUGUGGAACAUUUGAGACUUACUGGGGAGUUAUUAGUAUUUCUGAUGCAGUUUCUAUCAAUUCCCUCCUCCACAUCGUUCUGCCAAAACUAAGAAACACAAUUUUGGAAAAUGUAUUGAACGUGCUAAGGGGAUUGCAAAUUGAAGCUCACUCAAAACCCAGAACAGUGAAGGAAACCUCUCGAGGCUUCUUCUUACGAUGAAAAGAACUCACCCAAACUGUACAUAUAAAGUACAAUAUUUCAGAUGACAAGUUGAAUAGCUAAAUAUCAAGUUCAUUAUCUUAUAUAAUGGUGAUGAGUCCUAUACUAAGAGAUACUGACUUUUUCAUUAUGUACUAAUUUCACUUGAUAUUUUAAAAUUCCAGAUGGAUCAAAUGGCUUUUUUUCCCAAAUAAACAACCUAUUUGUGUUGAA